rnacentral:tRNA from 1 species
GGAGAGGUACCCAAGAGGCUGAAGGGCGGGUUUGCUAAACCUGUAGGGGGCGUAAGCUCUCGCGAGAGUUCGAAUCUCUCCUCUCCGCCA